rnacentral:rRNA from 1 species
CCUGCCAGUAGUCAUAUGCUUUGUUCAAGGGCUAAGCCAUGCAUGUCUCAGCGCAAGUGGAUGACAACCAAUCUGUGAAUGGCUCCUUACAUCAGCAGUCAUCUCUGUGAUAGAGUGUGGAUGGCAGUCUGACCAACUGCCCAUUGGAUACCUUCCAAAACCUGGUGGCUAAUACACGCAAGCAACAGUCUGCCACAACUGGUUGGCCACAGGCCUUGCGCCCAGGCUGACCGUGGUGGAUUGCAACCAGCUGAGAGAAAGACCAGCGCCAGGCAAUGGCAGUGUGUCCAGCAGCAGAGUCAGGCUGGUCCCUUUGGGACAUCUGCGCUGGCAAAUUUGUUUGUGGCAACCCCACAGCAAGUGUGCUUGAUCACAUGAACUUCUGACCUAUCAGCUUUGACUGUGGUGCAGUGGACCACAAUGGCUCUGACGGGUGACAGAGAAUCAGGGUUCGAUUCUGGAGAGGGAGCCUGAAAGAUGGCUACCACCACCAAGGUGGGCAGCAGGCGCGCAAAUUGCCCAAUGUGGACACAGUCUCGCGAGGCAGCAACGAACAGCAGCAACUCCGAAGGUUUUCCACCUGAGGAGCUUGGAAUGGAUGCCAUCCAAACACAGUGAUGAUUAGCAACUGGAGGGCAAGUCUGGUGCCAGCAGCUGCGGUAAUUCCAGCUCCAAGGGCGUAUACUAACAUUGCUGCAGUUAAAGCACUUGUAGUCAGCCACUGGGCUGCAGGUCUGCUUGGGGCCGGUGUGUGUGGUCUGUCUUGACUGCCUCGGCAGGAGAGCAGGCUGCGCAUGCUGGAACUCAACCCCAGGCAGUAUGACCCUGCUCCCGCAUCAGAGAUGGUGUGAUCGCUCCUGCACGAAGCCCCCUUCACUGGAGGCCAAGGUGGUUUAUGCAUCUGAGGCUUGUGUCUGGGCAAUCAGCCCCAAAGCACCCAUGGCAACUGGGGUAGCCCUACCAACCGGAGUCCACCAUCGCUGUCACCCUGGAAAACUCAGUGUGCUCCAAGCGUCCAGCCUUGGCUGAAUGCUCAUCCAGUGAAUGACAAAGCACCGACUCAAUGUGGCAAUAGAGUUGUGCUGGCCUUGGUGCCCAGAUUGAGACAAUGGGGUUCUGUUCCUGGUUGCAUCAUCUGUGUGGUUCCACCACUCAGUGGCCGUCAUGGGACAGUUCCAACCGCCGAUGAUGGAUCUGCUCGAGGUGAAAGCUAUCGCAGCGCCAGAGGUGAAAUUCUCAGACCGCUGCAGGAGCCCCAGCGGCGAAGGCGUUCUGCAAGUGCAAGUUCGUCGAUCAAGAAUGAGAGCGUGGGGAUCAAAGAUGAUCAGACACCGUCGUAGUCCACAGCCGUAAACAGUGCCAGCUCGGUGCCGCCAGGGCAUAUCCUUGACCCUGCCAGCGCCAUGCCCCCUACAACGAGAAAUCCAAGCCAUUGGGUUCCGGGGGGAGUACUGUCGCAAGGCUGGAACUUAAAGGAAUUGACGGAAUGGCACCACAAGGCGUGGAGUAUGCGGCUUAAUUUGACUCAACACGGGGAAUGUUACCAGGUCAGGACCCUGCAGGGAUGGACAGAUUGACAGCUCUUUCUUGAUUCUCGGGAUGGUGGUGCAUGGCCGCUCCUGAUUGGUGGAGUGAUUUGUCUGGUUGAUUCCGAUAACGAGUGAGACAUCUGCCUUCCAGUAGCCCCAGGCUCGCAUUUGGUAGGGUGGGCUCCUCAGCCUUUGGCCUCGGUCAUUGGGUGUGUGAGCCUCCCGAGAGCUUGUGGUCUUGCUUCUCUGAGGUGCUGUGUACGCAUAAAGUGCACGCAUGCAAGAGCCAACAGCAGGUCUGUGAUGCUCCCAGAUGUCCUGGGCCGCACGCGCACUACAUUGAUCCAGUGAAGGAGUGUCCUAUGGAACUCCGUGCCUUGUGCAUGGAGCCUGUCCAGAAAUGGAUGGGGAAUCCUGUGAGCCUGAGAUCGUCCUGGGGAUAGAUGAUUGCAACUGUCUGCCUUGAACAAGGAAUGCCUAGUAUGCGUGCGUCAUCAGCGCACACCGAUUGUGUCCCUGCCAUUUGUACACACCGCCCGUCGUUGCUACCGAUGACAGCUGGAUAGAGCCAUCAGGAGGCCAGGGCUGCCCUCCCAAAAUUGGGCAAUGUUCAGGUGUUAGAGGAAGCAAAAGUC